rnacentral:rRNA from 1 species
CCUACGGGUGGCAGCAGUGAGGAAUAUUGGUCAAUGGGCGCGAGCCUGAACCAGCCAAGUCGCGUGAAGGAUGACGGCCUUACGGUUUGUAAACUUCUUUUAUAAGGGAAUAAAGUGAGGCACGUGUGCCUUUUUGCAUGUACUUUAUGAAUAAGAAUCGGCUAACGCCGUGCCAGCAGCCGCGGUAAUACGGAGGAUGCGAGCGUUAUCCGGAUUUAUUGGGUUUAAAGGGAGCGUAGGUGGGUUGUUAAGUCAGUUGUGAAAGUUUGUGGCUCAACCGUAAAAUUGCAAUUGAUACUGGCAGACUUGAGUAUAGUUGAGGUAGGUGGAAUUCGUGGUGUAGCGGUGAAAUGCUUAGAGAUCACGAAGAACUCCGAUUGCGAAGGCAGCCUACUAAGC